AAAAGCAUCAGAUAUAAUAGUGGAAAAGGUCGAGGAAUAUGUAAAUAAACUUGGGAAUGCUAGGCUUGUCUUGGUGGAUUUAUCUCAGCAUUCAAAAAUAUUGUCCCUUGUCAGGGAUAAAGCUGCAGAGAAGAACAUCGACUCCAAAAAGUUCUUUACGUUUGUCGGGAAUAUAACUAAACUGUACUCAGAAGGAGGUUUGCACUGCAACGUGAUUGCUAAUGCCACUAACUGGCGACUAAAACCAGGAGGUGGAGGCGUAAAUGCUGCUAUAUUUAGUGCUGCUGGUCCCAUUCUUGAAACUGCAACCAAAGCUAAAGCUGGAUCUCUUAGUUCUGGAAAAGCUAUUGUUGUCCCUCUUCCUUCCUCCUCUCCCUUGUUUAGUGGGGAAGGAGUUACUCAUGUCAUACAUGUACUUGGACCAAAU
rnacentral:misc_RNA from 1 species